rnacentral:rRNA from 1 species
CGGGGUUAAAGGGCUGCGGUAAUUUGACCGUGCGAAGGUAGCAUAAUCAAUAGUCUUUUAAUUGAAGGCUUGAAUGAACGGUCGGACGAUAAAUAAACUGUCUAGGGGGUUGAGUUUGAAUUUGACUUUUAUGUGAAAAGGCAUAAAUCGAUUAAGGGGACGAUAAGACCCUAUAAAACUUUAUACUUACUGCUUAUGUUUACAAUAAAUAAAUAAAGAUAAGUAGAAUGUAUUAUGCUGGGGCGGCAAGGAUAUAAAUGUAGUAACUGUCUGUUAAAAAGAAUAUUAAUAAGUAGAUAAUUGAACCUUUAGCUUAAGGAUUAUAAGAUUAAGUUACUUUAGGGAUAACAGCGUGAUUUUUUUUGAGAGUCCAUAUCGACAAAAUAAGUUGCGACCUCGAUGUUGAAUUAAGGUUAACUUCUAGGGGCAGAAGUUUAGAGAAGUAGGUCUGUUCGACCUUUAAUACCUUACAUGAUUUGAGUUCAGACCGGUGUGAG